GGAGAGAUGCCAGAGUGGUUGAAUGGGACGGUCUCGAAAACCGUUGUACGGGUAACUGUACCGAGGGUUCGAAUCCCUCUCUCUCCG
rnacentral:tRNA from 1 species